rnacentral:lncRNA from 1 species
UUUUUUUGAAUCUGCCUCAAGCACCCCAACCCUACCGCCAAAAAGCCGUCCGUAUAGUGCAGGAGCGCUCACAUUUUUUUGCUUACUCUUUCACUUUCAUUUCUCAAUCCGGCUCACUCCCGGCUACGGUUUGGACCUUUCGCCUGCUUAGAAGUGGAUUCGAACCACUGACACAAGGAUUUUCAGUCCUUUGCUCUAACCAGCUGAGCUACCUGAACCACUUUCCUAAAGUCUGUUUUCUUCAUCGAAGAGCGCCCUACCUUACCACUUGACUAGUAAGGGAAAAGCCCUUUACUAAACUAAGAAAAUAGAAUAGAUAGGCUUUUUUCGCUUCUUCGUCAAGCUUUCGAGCAGCUCUUUCAACUGCCGCCUAAUCCCCCAACAUGCUCAAGAACCGAGAGCCGUCCAGGGACUGCCGGAGGGAGCUUGCUUAUAGAAAGAAGAUAGGCCAGAAAAACAAGGUGCAACGGGCUCUCCGCUCCUAGUCACUAAGAAGUGCUAUUCUGUCCUCCGGGGGACUGGACUCCACCAAGAGGUUCUUUCUCUCACGUAAUUUCGCCCGCCCGUUUCAUUUCCGUACCGGAGGAAAUGGGAUUCGAACCCAUGAUACAAUCUUCUUGUAUGUCGAUUUAGCAAACCAAUGCCUUAAGCCACUCAGCCAUACCUCCAAGUUGUUGAUCGGAAUGGAAUUGGAUGUGCCGGGUUUGGUUGCUUGCCCGAAGGAAGGGCUAUCUGAUCCGAUCAACUACGUAAGCCGUAGCGCGCUAGCGCGCGUACUCUUCCUCUAUGAGCGAGACUCCAUCCAAAUCUGCCACUCCUUGGGCGAGGCCUUCUGUUCUAUGAACACCCCACCACUGAAUGAUUCACUUUCAAGUUCUCGCCUCCGACCCGGGAGAACACAGGGUCAAGCCAAGCCCUGACCCGCCUAAAUGGAAUUCAUAUCUCCUUCGUCUGGUCGAGAAGGGAGGGGAACUGGACUCUGCCUCUUCUAUUACAUUUACAUUACAUUACGGAGAAGUCCAUUCUCGUCAUGAUCGAUCCACGUCCUAGCGUAGUGCCCGGCUUGCUUAGCAACCAAAGCUAGCUUACUAAGGUAGUUUACUUUUUCAUUUUGAAAAAAGAAGGCGAAGGGAUUUUUCCUUGAUUGCACGAGCUAGCCAGCAAGCCAGCAAACCCCCCCUUACUCACCUCAACAUCUAUAAAAAAAGCUCUUUCUCCUUUUCAUUUCAUAAUAAUAAGGUAAGCAUCCAGCUCUCGAUCCAGAGCUACUGCUUCAAGAAUCAACUGAGCUCAGGAAGUCAGGUUAAGACGUCGACUUUGACAGGGGAGAUGAAAAAGAAUUCCUGUCUUUAGAAGUAAAUCCCACUAAACUAGACUUGUACGCUUGACAUGAAAAGUAGAGGCAAGCGGAGUCAAAGGCCGAGCCUCAACCAGCAAAGGGGGACAGCCAUGCCAAUCCAAGCACAGUAAAAGUGUGCCCACUCUACCUUUCUUUCUUUACCCUAGACUCCGUUCUUCAAGGAGACCCAUGUGCAUUUCCUCUGUUCUGUGCUCGCUACGCCCUUGUGCCUUUAGUUGAAGUAUAGGUCGUCGAUUCAAUCUAUCUUGAUGGGAUUUUUCUAGUAGGUAGCGAGAAGACUAGUAGUAUCGACAAGAGGCUACAUCAAUAGCUGAAAAUUUCGGGUAGGGUAGGCUUGGAGUCAGAAGUCCUAUUCUUCCCAACCAAAUAAGCACUUUUGCAAAGUUCACCUUCCCGCGGUCAAAACAAGACUUACGGAUAACAAUCAGACCUUACCAGGGACAGGGACCAGACUAUAGAGCCUAAUUAAAAAGAAUUCGGGCUUGCUUUUUCAAUUCACAUCUAUGAGCGAGGAUUCCUCUAUCUCUUGCUCGCUUCGAUCGGACUCUGACAGCUUAGGGAAGAAUGAUGGGUCGCUAACAAGGCCCCUAAAUGACCGCUCAGAAGGCCUACCUGUUUUUUUUCCCAAUCUGUCACUUGCUCGUCCCUCUCUCAUGAAAAUGGUCUCUCCUCUCCUCUCGCUGUCAGGUUUGGUUCUUGUUCCAGGUUGGGUCUCACUGUUUUAUUAUUGAUUGUCCCAUGGUUAGAAUACGCUUUUUUUCGCUUGGUUAUCUUAGAAGGGUUAGCUACGUCCCGUUGGGAACCAUGAAACAACUAACACCCUAUCUUCUACUCCGUACUAUGAGAUAGAGGCAAUGAAAUGGGAAUUGCAACGCACUAUUCGGUCCAGCCCCAAUCUACUUUCCUCUUCCGAGAUGCCUUCUUCACUGGCCAGGCAAGGGAUAGAGUCUUGUCUUCCUUCUACGAUUCCGAACUUUGUCCUAAGAGCUGAUUCGUUCAAAGACAGGAAAGACAGUUUCGAAAGCAGAGACAUAAACUGGGACAGGAUUACUACUGGCUUGAAAGCGGCGUGACUCACUGUGAUUGGAAUCCGACUUCCUUGUGACCCGCUUACUUGCUUAUGUUGUACCUCUUCCUUUGCUAACUCCGCCUGUAUUUGAGCAUGAACUAAUCUAUCACUUCCCUCCUAUCUCUUAAAGCUUUUACACUUGACAGUUCCCCUGACCACCCGGACGACCGGAGUAGAAGGGGGAUGCCCUUUAAUUAAGCAAAGAACACACCGAAGCUAGACAGAUUGGAAAAGCCCCUUUAUGGAAGGACCUAUGUAGAAGCUCAUUCCGGACAAAGGAAAUCUCUGACACAGAUUUAGGCUUCUCCGAUUGAGAAAACCCCGACAAUUACUUUUAUAGUAGCUGCGAGCCUAAGAUCAAAGGCAGUUCCAAAAAGGAGUUCCCUAUUUCCAGCUUGAAAAAGUAAAGUCUCAGUGCCAGUUGUAAGGUUAGGAAAGCCAGGUAUGAUGAAAUCCUCUUUUCGAAUAGGAAUUGAUUCGAUCUUAUUAUUAGAAUAUUCAGAUUCAACUGAAUAUACUGUUUUCAAGAAGGAAUCGCCAUCACCAGUGGAAGUUGAACCCGGCGAUCUCUUCCUCCUGAAGUAUGGAAAAAGGAAGAAAAAGCAGUCAAUCACAGGGAAGGAAAUAGAGAAGGUAAGGGACCGCUUUCCUUGUUCAAGCCGGUAUUUAAUGAGUAAGUAGUAAGUAAGUGAGAAGUGGUGAAUUGGCCAGGAGGAAUAAAGCUUAUUUCAAGUACUAAUAAAAGCAUUCAUUACAAACUCUUGUGCUCACUUAUCCCAAGUAUAGGAUGUUUUCCCUGAGCCUGUCUGUGUUGAAUACGCUUUUUCCGUGUAGAAUAGAGAUUCUCUCUAAGAUUGAUAGAAUAUACGUUUUCUUUCUCUGAUUAAAGGUUGUCCAAAGAGGACUAAGAGACAGAUGCUGUGCUUGCAAGUAAGCUUCAGCCAAGCAUCAGAUAAACCAAGUUCGGGUUGGGAAAGGGGCUAUUUACCCCAGCAAUAUAGAAUAAUUAUUACCCCCCGCCACAGGCCAAUGAGCACGGCUUCCCAUAUGCCGGAUAGCUUUGAAGACUAGCUCCUACAUUCCUUCUUCUAGUUCCAGAAGGUACCUUUUAUAGACCAGUCUAUCUCCUCUGUGGGGAAGGCAAGGCUACUCUAUCAGAAUCGGAACCUUGGCUAGGGCUAUCUAGAGACUAUGGCUGUCUAGAGUAGAGUCUCGGUAUCGGGAAAUCAAUAGUAUAGGUCUUCCCCGCCUCUACCGCUGGUGAGAUCUCUGCUUGAACGUAAUCAUUCUUGUUUUGGAUCGUUUUGAGGGCUGUUCUAGAUGGAUGCACCACAAGACCUCUCGCGGAUGCUUACCUAAGCUACGGAACUCAAUUGUUGGGCGCCUUAACUAAAGGAGCUAAACCGGAGGAUCUCAUUCCACCUUAUCCUUCGCUGAAUCUUUCCUUUGUCCUUCCCCUGAACUGGAGACGGAACUUUCUUAUUCAACUAUGGGGGUUAGCGAAGGAAAGAAAGCUCAACACGUCUUCUUUAGAAGAAUUUUCCUGCAUCAGUAUAUCAGCUGAUUAGAUAUGAAGCUAUGUAGCAAGAUCCCCCAUCGGGUUAAGAAUCCGUCUUUUUUCUGCCUCAAUUGAGACUUGUAAGAGGCCAGGCUUAGCUCCUGAAGAUAGUAGGAUUAACUGGGCUUAGCUUAGAUAAAUGCUCUUUAAACUCAUUCAAUAUCUUUCUCGCCUUAUCCUGCUAACAGCCUAUGAAUGUGCGCUUGUCGGAAAUCAUCUUCAAUCUUCGAUUCCUAGUGCGCUGAUUCGAGAACAAGCUCACUUUCGUUCGCUUCCUGCUGCUCCUGCUAAUGCUAUUGCUACCUCCUCCUUUGCUCCUUCGAUACGUGCCUGGUCGAAAUCUUGCUUUAUUUAUAUUCUUCCUGAAAAGGUCAUACUUCUGCUCUCUUUCUUUCAUCAGCUAUUUUGACUAUGAGAAAGCUUUUCAUCAGAUAGUCUUUAGUUCUUUUUGUAGGCCGGACAUCUUUUUCCUAAAAAGUCCUCACAUGGUCAGUGAAGGCCCAAGUAUACCUAUAAAAAAGAAAUGCACGGCAGCUUUUGAAGAAAAAAGAGAUGCAUCUUUCUUUUCAACAAGAGGAAUCACAGCUGAUUAGAGUGCUACCAAGUUUCGUUUUUGGUUGCAACCCGAAUUCCCGGGAGAAUGAAAUUCAAAAAGUUGAGGAACGAAGUAACCUCAUCCAAUGGCCUCCUUCCUCUCCUUUAGAGUCGAGUCACUUCGUACCUUCCUAGCCGUCUAUUUCAAUCGUGCCAGUUGGAGGAAAGCCCGUCUUUUUUUGCCUACUCCUGGUGCCUAAAGGCAAAGAGCUUCUUCAAUAGCCAAGUCGAGCAGUCAAGCAGCGGGUUGAAGUCAAAGACAAGACAAGUCCUACUCUCAAGCAAAAGGCUAAGAGCGCUUGUUCCACUUCUAGCUCGUUAGGGAUGGGAUUCCUAAGACCUCUGAUGCCCUGACUCUCAGUCUCAAUCAAGUAAGAAAGGGAACCCUUUUAGCUACGGCAAUGGGUAUAGACCUCUUCCCUCCGCUGCUUACCCAAUGGACCACUUAGAAUAGACCGAAUCGAAGGCGGUAAGCAUUCUGUAAUCAUUCCAAGUUUUCCAGGCUGCCCAUUCUCUUUGUAUGAAAAGUAGGAGUAGGAAAUGUCGUAGGUAAAGCCGUCCAGUACUACAUCCGUAAGCCUUCCAUGUAUUGCAUUCGUUCGUCGGGGAAUCCCUAUGUUCACUCCCAUCAGGGGAAUUUGCCUUGAUUUCGAUUCUAUUACGUACAAGUGGGCCAGCCAGUCCGUCUGGUAAUUGAUUCUGUAUUCAAGGUAGGCUAUUUCGUCCUAGCUUUCCAAUUUCUCUGUCCUAACAGCGUUCGAAGCCUAACAUCCUUGCAAGCUUUGGAUUCUUUCCUAUCUCUGACCGGGAAAGAGGUUACCAAGCAAGUGAAACUGAAGUGAAACUGUACUCGCCUCUUCUCCUUCUUGUCCUCUUGUACUUCCGUUCUUCUUAUUCUCGUAUCCGGAACCGGAACAAGCUCUUCUUUAGCAGCCUCGCUUUGUUAGCUUCUUGUUAGCAGUACUAGUUUGUAGUCUUUAUUGACCUGGAACACAAGCUUUACCAGCCAACCCGAUCUGACCUUCGAAACUCUCUUCUCAUACUCCUCGUUCGUCGUUCCAGGCGUACUCCAGUUAGCUCUUCUCUUACAGAGCCUUGUCUGUUCGAUUGCUUUCCUAGUCUUCUUCCUGCUUCAUUAGAUAAAGCGUCUUCAUUAAUAGAUAGAGUUGGAGUACGUAGUGAGAGUCAAGGUCAAGGUUGAUUGAUGAGUUCAGUGGACAGAACGAUCGAUGUGAGGCCUAGGUCAAGGCAGGAAGUUAAAGUGUGACUUCCCCCGUAGUUGGGGGCGGGGGUUAAGCGUCCGAUUCGACAAUGAACACUAAAUGAAAGAGGCAAAUCCAUUUUCUCACCCGCCUACGAUUGAUUGGAGACUUAUUCAGUAGGUCCUCCUUCCCUACAGAAUGGAAUUCCAGGGCGUCUUGCUUAGAUCGCAUUUGCUUUCCCUUACUCCUGAAUAGUGAAAGAUUGAGCCUUUUUUGUUCAACCCAAGUGUUGGAGUUCCAGAGCACACUCUACCUUUGCUUCCUCAUUCUUCUGUGCCAAGAAUGAUCCAAUUGAAUCUUCUGAAGCUGAUAUGUAAAAUCUCAAGGGCUCAGAAGAGGCUCAUUUAUGCUAAUCAAAUUAGUACUCGUGCGGAAGUAUUUCCCCUAUCAUAGAAGGUGUGAAGCAGGCGGGGUCUUUAAAGCAAAAAAGCAAAGCAAGUUCCAGGGAUGCGGGCAGAGGGGGGUUUCUCGAUAGUCCAAAACUAGUGAUCUAGGCUUCUCCAGCAAAGAAUCGACGCAUGCCGAGUAGACUACAAUUUGUGGCACCAUAUCCUACCUAUCCCGAAGGGAAGUCUCCAAAGUGGGAUUGUAUAUUAACUCAGUCUCCGACGAAGAAGGUUCAGGCAUGCUUCGACUUAGCCCUAUGAUCCGCUAAUUCAUCUCUUUUUCUGGUAUUCCGCAAAGGAGGUGGAUAGGGUCAGCGAAAGAAGUGGCGAGGGCAGAAGAAAGGGUUUUCAAUUCAAGAUUCCCGCUCCUGAAAAUGGGUAUUAAACAAAGGACAUAGUGGGUUAGGUAAAACCUAUUUUGAGAGGAAAGAUCUAUCAAAGCAGAAAGUCCAAAGCCAAAGGUUUUUUUCAAUGCGUAUGCUUUAAAAGUCAGACUUGGAAUAUAUUAUUUAUCUGUACUUUAUUAAUGGGAUAGGAAUUCGUAGUGGGACGUUCUUUUCAUAGAUCCUUCGAGCGAGAAAGGUGCUGCGCCGGGGCCUCCUCAAGGUCAUUCGGAACCACUUUAAGGCUGUUUAUUGACCAUAGCAACGCAAUGUUCAGUGGUGGGGCAAAGCACUAGCGAGAAGCUUCCCUUGGGAUUGUUUUCCCAGGCAAUUUUCCUUUUUUGCGCUUAUACGCUUUUCUCUGUCUUUGAUGUCAAGCCCAGUCCCAGUGACCCAUUGGAUUGGAUUUCUCCCUUGGGCGGACUCCAUAUGGGGAUAACUUGUUACUUGUAAAGUCCAGGAAUGAAUGCUUAUUAAGGAAUCGGUAAGCUGAUGUGCCAUUACUGGGUUCCAUCCUCUGGCAAUUAUCGACUCGGGAAUGAACGAAGUCGCUUCACUUCAAAGUAGAGGUUUGUGGUAACGGUGGACUGACAGAUCAGCUCCAAGGCCUGAGUGCCUAGGUUGCAGUGGUAAGAGUCGCUGCCGAUGAGUUCCAGCUGCCAGAGUCUUCGAUAAGAAAGAGGCGUCUGAGUAAACAGAAGUGAGAUCUUCCUAUUGAUACUAGCACUAGUGGGACUGGCUCCCGGGGAAAGGGAAUUACACUAGAUCUUGGCAAUGGCACUCCAACAAGCUCGGCAGGGAGAGAAAGAAGAGAAGGAGAAGAGGAAGUACGACGAAAAGGGUAUGAAAUAGGUUGCUUGUAGCGAUUGCGAUUGCUUAUUUGGUUGGGAUUACCAGCCUGACCAAAGAAUAAGAUAAAAAGAAGAGUUCCCGCCUACGGCUACAUGCCCAUUAAGAGCUAUACCUGGAGUCGAGCUAACUGCAUAGGCAGAGGGGAACUUUCCUAAAAAGCCUAAUAGCAAUUAACCGCAUUGGAAACGACGAAUCACACUCUGAAAGGAGGUUCCCUCCCAAUAGAUGUCAGGAGGGAGCAAGGCGUGAUUGCUCUGUCAUCCUCCGACCGCCCCCCUUUCCACCUCUAAGUAGUGGUGUUGGUGUGUCUCGUUGCAAUCAUUCCGGUCAAUCCCUUUCCUGAACCAUAGGUAAGGGAUGACAGGAGAUGGCCCCUAUAGCAAAAUAAACCAGCCCCUCAUUUGAGAGAGUAAAUAGAAUAGUGUCGGGCUUACGACAGUCUGACUUUUGAACGACUAAGCAACUACUAAGCUCCCGCCCACCCCCAACCAAUUAGGGUAAAGUGUUCAUUCAUACCUUCAACAGCACCGAGAUAUUGGCCCAUGACCAUGUUUACUUCAUCUUCAAGAGCAAGCAUCCUGGCUCUCAGGGCCUCAGGCAACCCUGGAUCCUUUCCUACUUCCUUAGUGAUUCCAAGAAGAUGCUUCAACCCCGUUAAGUUUUAGCUGGCCAUCACGGUCCAAUAAAGAUUUCCAAUUUCGAUUUGGAAUUGUUGAGCAGUAGGUUAAAGAUAACCUCCUUUGAAGUACCCUGUGUGGAUCCGGGGGCUGCUUCUGCGCUGGCUUUGCUAGCUUGCAUGACGGGCUGUAAGACGCUCAAUCAAUCGGGCGCUAUCCCACCCUUCUUCCUUGAUCUACACAUUCACGCCCUUUAGAGUUAAGGAAUGAUGGUUAAGAGUUCUUGCUUUUGAGUUCCCACUCUGACUAUUUAGAAGGCUAUAUAGAAUAAUACCUUAAUGAAUUGAAGCGGAUAAAGCUCAGCAUUUCUCUAAUUUGAAUCGAAAGUUGCUUUUGACUCCUCCGCCUUUGAAGGCUGGUUACAUCCAAUGUCUCCUACGAGGCUGCCUUAAAGUCCUCUUUGUCUAGGCAGAGGUAUAGCCCUUUUUGAAUACAUUUGACUUGGUGCUCACUUGUAGGAAGAUUCCCCGCUCUGAAGUCAAGUCUUUUUUGGAGCUCCUUCCAAAGAGGUUGGGAUUAGACUUUCAAUUGGAUGUGUCCCGGUCAAAUCGUUAACGACAGAUCCCUGCAGACGUACUACUUUCAAUCAAACCUUCUCUCCUUUACCUUCUUGAUUGAUAGAUAGUGAGGCCUAGGACUUGCUUCCUUAGAUUUGUUGAAUUUACUCUGUCUUCACGAAUUGGAUUUGAACAAAUAUCUCUGGGCGACUUUCCUUUUAAUCGAUCGUGAGGGGGGUUUCCACUUUAUUACUCAGGUAGAGUGAAAUGGCUAGGCUCCCCUAUCACCUUUCCUUUCGGUGAUAUAUUUUGCCUUAGCACUUACGAAGUAGACGUCAUUUAUUGAGUUGAAGUGAAGUCUUUCCGUUCCCGAUUCAAUUACAGCUGUUCUCGCUAAAGCCCGAUCUGAUCCCGCUUGAGCGGCAGGGAGAAAUCCUGAUCUUCCAAUUGCGUCAAUACAAUAAGAUAGAUGCCUGAAUCGCUCCGUGGCUUUAUACACCCCAAAAAAGAAUGAAUAGGCGCCCAGAUGGAAAAAUUACGAUAGAAAUAAAGCUUGGAAAUGAAGGAUGCGCUCGCGGAAACAAUGAGAUCAUCAACAUAAACUAUAAGAUAGACUUGAAUGCCUGUCAAUCGGUAUUCUAUAUGAUGUGAUGUUGCUAGUUUCAUCUGCUAGUAAGAGAAGCUGCGGUGAAUGAAUCCUUCUUAGCUAAGGAAUGUUUGUUGGACACCCACCCAUUGUCCAGUUCCGGCUAGCGCUCCUCGUUGCCUUUGUUUGCACGGUCUCAUCACUUAGUGGUCUGGCAUGCAGUUAAACAGGUUGACCCUGGAAACCGCUUUCUUAAGUAUGCUGUACUAGGGGACAAUGUAGGAGGACGCUCGUGUAUAUGAAAAAAUUUUUUGUAAUUGGGCUUUUUCUUUCCUAUCAGAAAUCUAUGAUUUCCCAUCAAGGUUCAGCUGUGAAUUCGCAAAGAGGUUCAGGGUUCGUAAUUUGAGUAAGGAUCUUUCACCUAUCUAAAUUCGGGCUCUUAUGAACUCUCACCAUCCCUAUGGUACUAUGGCUGUACAGCUACAGUACCCUAUGAAGAGAUUUUCCACUCUUUGUUUUGUAGAGUAGGGGGUUGUGGGUUACCGUGCUCUAUCUAGAAUCGACCAUGUUAGAAGUCUUAAGGUAGAGAGGUUGAUUGUGCUUCAUGUCUCCCAAGAGCAUAUUGUUCUGAGUGAGGGUAAUGUUUGCUAUCGCCGCUUCCUGUUUUGCUUUCUUAGCGAAAUGCGUGCUUCCGUUCACAUCAAACAUCGUUCUUUUCCCUUUUGCCCCUACCUUGGUGUUGACCCUAGGUUCGCUAGCUUCCUUUCCGGUCUCGUAUGGGGAGUAAGUUAAGCCAUUCCACUAAAAUACUCUUUAUUGAUUGAGCUUUCUCAGUCUUGGUUUGAAAGCCUUGACAGUUCAGUUCGCGUAGUUCGUAGCCAUCGUUAGAGGAAAGAACUUGUAUUACAAGGAUUCAUUAACUGUAAAUCUGGCAAUUCCUACCAGGGUGGUGGGUCAGAGCGGAUUCCCUUGCUUUAGGGCAGGAAUAGCGGAAUGGUUGGGGGGCUUGUCUUUAAGCAGCUGGCUUCCACGUAGCUACAGCUGCAGAGGAUAGUCUCUAAAAGCUACAACCGUCUCUUCUUAUUAUUCUCCGAAAACAUACCUAGGUUUUGGCAAUCACUCUACUGACAGAGAACCUAAGAGCUACCAAUAAGCCUUUAGGCAGGCAGCGGAAAUGGUAAAUGUCGUCUUCCUUUACAAUGACUUCUUCCUUUCCUCUUCACCAUACGCAAUUCUAGCUCACCCUCGGAUCAGGGGAUACCUUAAGUCAGCAGCUCCCUUUGAAGAUAGGGCAUUUACAUAAACUCCGAAACCGUACCCAGGGAGCUUACAUCAGGAAACUCCCAAGCUUGCCGAGGAAGGAACAAAACAGAGAAAGACACCGUCCAACCGCUUUUUUAUGUGCGCGUACCACUUUUGAGUAUCUUUGCACUGCUAGCUCCCUUAGAUCAUUGGCUACCAGAAAGACUAGAACUCAGGAACAUCAAUAUGGUUAGGGAUCAUUAAGGUACGGCCCUUAGCCUAUUCCUUUCUGCCUUUUGAACGAAUCUAGAACCUCAAUUAGCAGAUUCAUUAGAAACCUUUCUUGGAAGACUCAAUUCAUUAGAUAAGCCUAGUACAUAAUCACUGAUAGGAUCAUUCCUGAAAUUAACAAAUAAUUAAUGGGCACUUUGAAGCAAGUUGAUCCUAGAAGACUAACCUCGUAGCUCACUUAGAUCAAUCAGUUCAAGCAUUGACAAACCCGCCUUCCUUCUGUGUUCAGGACGGAGACUCUUUCUGCCUUUGUCGAACUGCCUUGACGCCUUGGCAGGCUUUGACCUGCUUUCCUUCGCUUACCGGAGAGCGGAUUCUUUAUUACUGACUUUUCGCGGUUGAUCGCACCUCGCACCUAAAGGAGUCGGUCCUUGUGAGGAGGAGGACUCUUCUCUUGCUGUCAAAAGUGCUUACUCAUGGUCUAUCGUGCAGUUGAUGAUAUCAUUCUGGACUAGUUUCCAGGCAUACGCCAACCAUACAUACCGCUUUCUCGUUCAGGAAUUUCUUAAGAUUAAGGUUCGAAAGGACCGGGCGGCGAUGAAGUAUGAGUCUAAAACACUAUAUGCAGAGCUGCCUUAGCUCAAUAGAUCAACGAAUCAGGAGAUGACUUCUUAAACGUUCGCGAAUGGAAAAGAGUUGCUUUAGGCACGGACCACAAACCCACGAACCUAAUAGUUGGAUCCAUGAGGAGACAGGAGAAAGCCAUUCAUUCCGGUCAUUGAGCCCGGAUUGAGGAUUGAUUGAUCUAAACCAAAGACUUGAUUAUAUAUAGGAGAAAGGCGUUCUCAUACCCUGAUACCGCUUUGUGGAAACCUAGAACAGAAGAAAGUCUCUUUAGGAUGGCUCUGUCCUAGCUAGACCGAGUCACAACUACUUAUUAUAGAAGACUCAGGCACACUUCCCUAUACUUCUCCUAAGUGACAUCAAAAUACUCUUUCAGCCGAUUCGAAAGCAGCAAUAGAUGAGAUUGAAUCAGACAGAAGGUUCACCCCUCACCCUGGGGGAUUGGGGAGUUGAGACUUCCUUGCUCUUAGGCCCGCUGUAAGGCCAAUAAGAUCAGGAAGAAGGGGAUUGGAUUCUUCCUUUUAUCCGGACUGACUCUAAUCGUGAUUUUGACUCUAUUAUGAUACCUCCCUCUGUCGCAAUAGAAAUCGAGAAUGGAGGUGACUUCGCUACACUUGUUUAUAGUUGGAAAUUCCAACUCGAAGGCCCUAGUACUACUGACUUUGCACCAGAUUAAAUUGAAGCCUUUUUUCGGCAUCCCUUCUCAGACGUCUUAUUCCUUGCCUUAGUAAUGUGCAAUCAGCUACUUGGCACCUUCCCUUAUUCUCCUUCCUUUCCGAGGUAGUACUAAUUAAUGCUUGAAUUGCUCCUAUUAGAAAUAGGGCUACUCUUGGGUACGAAAGAAGGAUAUUCCGAGCCUGGGCACAUCCCUUUGAUAGCUUUGUUUAGCCUCCUUUACUAUGUCAAUCCCUCCGUAUUGGUUAUGGCUGAAGCCGAUCCUCUCCUUGGUACUUCACCUAGUGGCUAAUCUCAAGUCUCUUCUCUCGACCGGAUGGGCCUAUGUCACUAGAACAGGUGAGGAAGGCCUCCAAUCACUGUACUGGCAAUUCAAGAUGAACUCCUUCCAUGCCAACAAUAAUAGUACUAAACUUUCAAAAGAAGAGAGAUGAGAUCAAGCUUUGAAGUUGGUAGCUGAAAGAAAGCUGUUCGUGAAGGUCAGGCCAGAGCAUAAGGAAGGAA